UGGAAUUGACGGGAAGAGCAAUUUGUGUGUAAGCAUGCAGAGCGUUGUGUGGAGGCUCUUUAAUCUGAACACUCAAAAACACAAAAGGCGAUAAUAACUUCGCUUUAGCUGCCUAAUCAAGUUAGAUUACGCAUUCGCUAACUGUUUCAGGAGAAUUUAUUCGGUAGUUUUCCUACCAGAAACAGUCAAACAUACUGAGUAUUUACAGGCAACAGCCGAUAGCUUGUAGAUUAUAAUCGGCAUAAGGUAGUAUUUUGGUGAGCGACAGACCUGAUACUACCCGACAAUAACUGCCGCUAAGCAUGUAGAAAGCGCAACCAAAUUCCUUCUCCGGACAGGGGUUCGAAUCCCC
rnacentral:tmRNA from 14 species